CGGUUCUCUAAUUUGACUCAGCUUCAGAUUGGAAUGUUUCUCUCCUCACUGGGAAAAGCUCCUUUGGUCUCAGUGAACUCAGAGGUGGAGAAAGUCAUAAGAAUCAGGGAGCCUGCCCCAAAUUGCCUCCUAUGAUAACUUUCCACAAAGACUGGAGGGGAGGCUUCAAACAUCUUCCUGCAGUGUCCAGCAAGACAGCGAGGCAGACUCCCUUUCUCCUGCCAAAGCCACGUGGAGCCAGACAGAACCACAAGCAUACCUGUGGUGCUUGGAGGCCCAAGUAGAAACUUGAAUGCUCACGGCUGCAUUGGCAGCUUCUACUUGCCUGCCUGGAUCACCGUUCCUCAUGAGAACUUGGAAAAGCAGGACUAUCAUUCUUGCUUGACAGACGAAGAAACCAAGCCUCAGGACUGCGUGCAAUUCUACUUGGAGAUCUUCAUAACACCUUAAGGGAAAAAUCCUUUUUGAAAGAAAAACAAGUCUGGGUGGUGCUUGAAAAUUCAGAAGGCAGCUAGAAACUCUGCCAAUUACAACUGGUGAUUGCUGAGUUCUGGAGACAGACUGGGCUUCUGCUUUCUUUUGGUGGAGGUGUCUGCUUGCAGAAAAUUUAUGUUCUGGGAUUUACAACUUCAGGGAGACAAAGGAAACUCCAGCUCAUCUCCCACAUCAUUGAUUGAGAGGACCAUUUUCUGACUGUCUGCACACUGGUGCUUCGUGAACCCUGGAUGCUACAGUCUCUGGCCACAGCACUAAAUGUAUGCUGAGAUCUGGCUUCACGGUCG
rnacentral:lncRNA from 10 species